rnacentral:lncRNA from 1 species
GAAAUAAAGUAAGAUACAUGGAAGGAAAUGUUUUGGUAACAGAUUUUUUUUUUUAAAAUCUUUUAUUUGUUCUUGUGUGUGGGUAUAUAUGCAUGAGAGUCCAGCUGUCCUGCAAGUCAGCAAUGGCAGAUCGCCCAGGAUUUGCAAUUACAGGCGGUUGCAAGCUGCUGGACAGGGUUGCUGGGAACUGAACUUGAGUCAUUGGCAGAGCAGUAUGUGCUUACAUAGUCAUCAGCUUCACUGAGUAAAGGGGUGUGCCACACACAGUUAAGACUCUUACCUUUAUAUAAACUAGCUUUAACUAAUUAGUAAGACUAACAGUUAUAUCUUGUCCAGAUUAUGUUGUCUUCAAAAGACUUUUAUUUUUCCCAACCACUAGUAUCAUUAAUAACAGACUGUUAAAGAGAAAUAGGAAAUAUUUUAAGUGAACCUCUCUGUUCAUUUUUAACAUCUCUUUUGGUGUUUACUAAUGGUUUGCUAUUUCAUUUAUGUAAUUUUUUUCUAUUGAUAAUUAAUACACAUUUACACACACCACUUUUUUUUCAUCUGUGUUUUUGGCCUUUACUUCAGGAUUAAAAUAAAGGUUUGGGAAUUGUGCUUGAAUUUGAAUUGUGACCCAUUCUAAUUUUUUUCUCAGACAAGACAUUGAAAUAAGCAUUCUGUGGGCCUUAGGACUGGAGGGAUGAUUCAGUGGUUAAGAGUGCUUUACUGCUCUUGCACAAGACUUAGGUUUGGUUUGUAGCACCACUUGAUGGCUCAUAGCCACCUGUAACUCCAGUUUCAGGGGAUCUGAAGCCCUUUCUGACUUCUUCAGACUCCUACAUACAUAUAGUGCACAUACAUACACUUAGACACACACAUAAAAUAAAUAAGUAAAUACUUUUCUCAUCGCUAAACUAGGAAUAAGAAUACCCAGUAGUAUCACAUUGCAUAUAGUUCAGUUCCAAACUGCAGCAGGCACUCAGAAAGUGACAGCAGUAGGUGCUUGCUCAUCUUCCACACACUCAAAUGAUAUUAACUGUUUAAGAAACAAAUUUGGUGCCCAAGAUGCUGUGCUGUAUUAUUUACUUAUCUAUAUACCCUCGUAAGGGACAGUUGUGUGAAAGCAAGGACAACCUGCAUGGUCUUGAGUUCAGGGCCCAGUUUACAGAGGUAGCAGUUAGUGAUGGAGAUCUAGCUGUAUACAUCUACAUUGGCAGACAUUCUACGUCCUCCAUCCUUUAUUUCUUUAGAGUCUUUUGAUUUUGAGCAUUACAAUAUUUUUAAUCUUUUUAUAUAGAAAUAAUUUUUAAAGUGAUUAAAUUAAUACUAAUAAAAACUCCCAAACCAGUGUGAUGGGUUUACUUAGGAUGGUAUUAUUAUUUCUAAAAUAUUGUUUAUAACUUAUUGUUUUUUGAAAUAGUCCCAAAUUUGUCUAGAAGGAGCCACUAUGGCCUGGUCUUUGUGUACUUAACACAGGCUUUUCUAACAUUCUGACUCCUCUCCGUCUCGGUCCAUAUUUUCUUUUUUUUUUUUUUUUUUUAUGAUUUCUUUUUUUUUUCCAUUUUUUAUUAGGUAUUUAGCUCAUUUACAUUUCCAAUGCUAUACCAAAAGUCCCCCAUACCCACCCACCCCCACUCCCCUACCCGCCCACUCCCCCUUUUUGGCCCUGGCGUUCCCCUGUUCUGGGGCAUAUAAAGUUUGCGUGUCCAAUGGGCCUCUCUUUCCAGUGAUGGCCUAUCAAGAGAGAGUUCUAGGUUCAUCUAACGGACACUGACCCAGGCCUGGCACCACCCAUUGUGAGAAGCCUUUGUUUCUUUAACUGAAGAAUGGUACUACUAAUGACUACGGUCUGCUCUGGCUUCACUACUGUCACAGGGUAUUUCUGUGUUGUGAAAGCUUUUAGUGACAUUGAACACUUGAUUGAGUUGAGUUUAUAAGGAAAAAGGCUUUGCAUUGUUGCCUUUGGGGAAGCUGUAUGAGGCCAUCAAGUUUUGCUUGCUUUAGGAAAUGAUUUGCAAAAUGAUAACGAGUGUGUGUUUAAAGCAGAGGAGCAAACAUGGUUGUGUCCUCGAGUUGUAUAGACAAGGUAGAUCUGUCUCUUCCCUUCUCUUCCAUCACACGGAAAGACAAGACUUUGGAGCAGUGCUCAGGUUAAUUUACUAUUACCAACUUCCUCGGUUUCACUUUCCCUUGUACUGUGGUGGGCUUAAACCUUAUUUUGGGAAAUCGAUUUUUUAAAAUUGAUAUAUUUAAAGUUUUAUUUUAAAAGUAUGUGUCCGUGUGUCUGUGUGUCUGUGGGUUUGGUCAUGUGAGUGCAGGUGCCUGCAGAGGGCAGAGGUCUAAGAUUACCCUGGGGCUGCAGUUAGGGAUUGCUGUGAGCUGCCUGAUGUGAGUGCUGGGAAUGGAACUGAGGUCCUCCUGCCAGAGCAGCACAUGCUCUUCACCUCUCAGCCAUCUCUGUUGCCCCCCCCCCCCCUGUACUCUUCCAAAACAUUUAAAGAUAUGUUGUAGUCAUUAUGUUAUUUUAUCUUUAAUAUUUCAUUAUGUAUUCGCUGAAGGCAAGGAACAAGGAUACUGUCAUAUGAUCAAAGCAUAAUUAGAAAAACCCAGGAAUUUGAACAUUGAUACAAAAUUAACUAUGUAAAUCUUAUUCAAGUUUUGCUCGUUGUCCUAAUAAUGUAAUAACAAUUAUAAAACAACAUUCAGACCAGGAUCAUGCAUUGUAUAUAGCUGGGAAGUCUUUUAAAAAUAUAUUUAUUAAUUAUUUGAGGAUUUCAUACAACAUAUUUUGAUCAUACUUAUUCUUCUUCCCAGCUCCUCCCAGAUUCACCCCCACCCCCUAUCCAUUCAACUUGUUCUCACUCUUUUUUUUCUCUCUCUUUUUUUAAUUAAAAUUUUUUUUCCUGGGCAGUGGUGGCAUGUGCCUUUAAUUUCAGCACUUGAGAGGCAAAGGCAGGUGGAGCUCUGAGUUCAAGACCAGUCUGAUCUACAGUAUGAGUUAUAGGAUAGCCGGGGCUACACAGAGAAACCCUGUCUCAAUAUUUUUUCCCAUAACAUAUAUUUUGAUGGCGUUUUUCUGUUCCCUAGAUCCUUCCCACCUCCUUACCCACUCAACUUUAUGUUCUGUCUCUCAACCACCACCAAAAAAAUACAAGAAAACAAAACAACAAGAAAAAAAAAUCCAAGAAAUAAGACCCUC